rnacentral:rRNA from 1 species
ACUUAAAUUGAAGAGUUUGAUCAUGGCUCAGAUUGAACGCUGGCGGCAGGCCUAACACAUGCAAGUCGAACGGUAGCACAGAGAGCUUGCUCUCGGGUGACGAGUGGCGGACGGGUGAGUAAUGUCUGGGAAACUGCCUGAUGGAGGGGGAUAACUACUGGAAACGGUGGCUAAUACCGCAUAACGUCGCAAGACCAAAGAGGGGGACCUUCGGGCCUCUUGCCAUCAGAUGUGCCCAGAUGGGAUUAGCUGGUUGGUGAGGUAACGGCUCACCAAGGCGACGAUCCCUAGCUGGUCUGAGAGGAUGACCAGCCACACUGGAACUGAGACACGGUCCAGACUCCUACGGGAGGCAGCAGUGGGGAAUAUUGCACAAUGGGCGCAAGCCUGAUGCAGCCAUGCCGCGUGUAUGAAGAAGGCCUUCGGGUUGUAAAGUACUUUCAGCGGGGAGGAAGGUGUUGUGGUUAAUAACCGCAGCAAUUGACGUUACCCGCAGAAGAAGCACCGGCUAACUCCGUGCCAGCAGCCGCGGUAAUACGGAGGGUGCAAGCGUUAAUCGGAAUUACUGG